AUGCCGACCCUCUAUGAUCUGGCAAUUGACGAGUUUCGGAAUGCUCCGUCGGAGAUUUUUAUUGGGUGCUUGACGCCUGUAGAUUACUGGAUCAAAUGGGAUUCGGUCGUGUGCGUCCCUAUUUCAGCCCGAGUGGCUUCAGGAGGGUGUGAUGCGAGAGAACGUAUCCUGUGCAACGACGAGACUGGUGUAACGAGUGCUCCGAGAAAUUCUGCGCCACUGGAUGCGGAACCAAUGGCGCAGAAUCGGUCGGAGCACUCGUUACACCAGUCUCGUGGUUGCACAGGAUACGUUCUCUGUGAUGUGAAGGCGAAGCUUCGUUGUUUAUUAACAUUAUGGGACAUGUUGGCAUUUCGAUUUCCAUUAUGA
rnacentral:rRNA from 1 species